AUUGGCCUCGCAGUUCAUCAUCGGUUCGAUCUGUGCGGUCGCUACAGCCAGUUUUCACACGCUCAGUCACCUCAGAGGAGGGAUCAAUGCGAAAGAAUGCAUUCAAGAAUAAAGCUGUCAGAAUUGAAAGGAAGCAACAAUUUCAGUCUGAACGACAGAACAAAAUAAAGGCUCAUCAGUCGGCUGUUUUUGGAUAUCGCGAGGACACGGCCUGGAAGAUGUACACACCUUCGGGAUUCUGAGGCACUACAGCCCUGUGGACAAGUUGAUUCCAUGCUGUUGUGGCCAACUGAAGCUUCACAGGAGAAAAUGAAACAUCGCAAAUAGCCUUUGUACCUGGAUUGUUCUCUCUUUCUGUCUGUCUCACACUCUCUCUUUUUCUCAAUGGUAGCCAAAUCAGAAUAAACGUGUGCACCAGAUUUUAACA